UACAGAGGUCCCAAGCGUUGUUCGGAUUCACUGGGCGUAAAGGGUGCGUAGGUGGCGAGGUAAGUUUGAUGUGAAAUCUCCGGGCUCAACCCGGAAAUGGCAUUGAAUACUAUCUUGCUAGAGGAGUGGAGGGGGGACUGGAAUACUUGGUGUAGCAGUGAAAUGCGUAGAUAUCAAGUGGAACACCAGUGGCGAAGGCGAGUCCCUGGACACUUCCUGACACUGAGGCACGAAAGCUAGGGGAGCAAACAGG
rnacentral:rRNA from 1 species